rfam:Alteromonas macleodii str. &apos;Black Sea 11&apos;, complete genome.
CAUAGUCAGAUUAUUGCCUGAGACGGCAAGGCUGGUGGUUUUUUAAACCACCAGCCU